AUUCUGUGACUGUGCAGUGGAUAAAGGGCUGGAUGCUGCAGGGGGACGCUCAGAGGACUCAGGUUGGAGUGUGCCCAUCCCUAGCCUGCAGGAGGGCAGCGGAACUCACGUGGGAUGAGGGGCCUGCAGAGUCAGGGAGCUGACCCCUGCCAGACACACACCAGGUUUCCUCACGUGAAGGGCAGGUGGCAGCCAGUUGCUUCAGAAUCCUGUGUACCCCUGGGAAUUGUCACAGUGGCACAGUCAGCAGGAUCUACACCCAGGUUGCUGGUUAGAUAGUGAGAGAUUCACAAGCGAGAAGGUCGGAAUCAAAUAAAGAAAAAGAUGCUUCAGGAGAACCUCAGUUUCUUCGAGGGAAAACCGUUACAGUGACUUCUCCCUUCCCCCCCAACGACCUGCCUGCUUCAGCAGAGAGAGGGCAGUGACGACCAUGCUCAGUUUGGGGCCGUGCAGGCAGGAGGCUCGAGUCAGACCGGACGAUAAGCAGCUGUGUAUUCUGGCCACAUGCAGAUCUGAGCCUGCUGUACCUCCAGACAUGGCCGCAGCCUGAAGGAUCCUGGAGUUAAUUGCAUCCCUUGCCCCACCAGCUACCCACUGCACUUCUCCCGCUGGUUCCUUCUGCAACCACACCAUCCUGUGCUCCUAGCUAUCCCGCCUCCUACCUACUGGGCCUUGGCCUAAUGGCUGGAUUGAGAAGCAACAUCAGUAAAAGCUGGAACCCGGCACAGCAUUUGAGGCAGGGGAUGCGAGCGGCUUGACAAUUACAGACAAGUGCGUAUGUGACGGAGACAAAGCUGCAAUCUAAGAGGUUUGCUCAGGAAGCAUCCAGCAGGCCAAUCCUCAGCUCCACUGAAAUCAAGGCCGGUUUACACCGUCUGCUGGUCUGGUGCAAAGGGGUAAAUGAAAUAGUAACCUGGACAUUGGGGACCCGGAGCAGGGUGACCCUCAGGGAGUCUGAGAAGCAAAUUUCUGGCAAUGUGGGGCCAUGCCCAGCCGGAGCUGAGGAUUCCAGCACAGACAGGAAGGAUGCAGGGACCAGGAGAACACUGGCAGGGCUGUGACAACAUAGCCAAUAGGUGAAGAGGGGGGAAAAGAAGAGUCGCAUAGAGUCUCAAGGAUGCACUUCAGUGGUGAAGCCUGGGUAGCUCGGUAGCCUGGAUAGUUAUGGCGAUUGGCCAUGGAAUACUGUGUCUACUCUAGAAGAUCACAUGGCUGAAUGUGGAACAGCUGCUCCUUCCUUACCCACUCAGAUCCAGCAGGGUAACAGAGAGAUGAGAUGCAAAGAGGCCACCUUGCUACCUGCAGAACAGAUGCUGAAGCAGCCUCCAGCAGAGAUGGGGAGCAGAAGCUGCAGGCCAUCCCUGAUGCCCCUCUGGCUGCAUGAGGAUCCAGCUGGGCUGCAGGAAAGUUAAGCAGGACAGGGAUGCCAGAGCUGAGAGCAUCACUUCACAGUCCAGAGGACAGACACGUUUGCUGCUAGCUGUGUUUAAACUGUGGCGCCAACCUUGUCAUUACACAGCCAGCUAGCAGGAUUUUAAAGAGGUUACACAGUGCCCACACUGGGUGCUAAUGGUGUUUUGAAAUAUUGUAGCUACUUUGAAUGUUAAACCCACAUUUUUUCCUAGUCAAGUCAGCUCCCCUAGGGUUAAAUAUGGACCAGCAGCAAAUGCUUGUGCCCUGCUUAUGCUAGACCUGACAAGCGUGAUCAUUAGCAUGUGUUAACACAAGGUUGUAAUUCCACAUGUAGACAAACCCUGACAUUUGUGCCUGAACUAUGGGACGUUCUGGGCAAAAAUGAAAGUGAGAAAGACACUGUGAUCCAGUGGCUGAGGCGUAGUCAGCUGAGAGGUGGCAACCUGAAUUCAGAUCCCUUUGCCACAUCAGGCAGAAAGAGAAGUUGAACCCACAUCCUGGGUGAGUACCUUAAGCACUGGGCUAAAGUGUGCUCGGUGAGGCUACUGCCUCACCCUCCCCCGCCUGCCCACCACCUGGUGUGCUCUGAGAAUGCCUCCAGGAUGGGCCGCAGAGAUGAGAUAGGUGGGGGAAUGCCUAGAGGGAGACUCCUACUGGGACUUAGGACUGAGAUGGCAGUGUGCAUGCCCAGUAGCAGAAACUUAGGUGCCGCCGGGUCAUUAACAGUGGAAAUGUAGGCACCUCCAUGUGUAGGUGCCAGCUGAGUGGGGCUUUGAGAAUCUCAGUGGCACCCAAAUCCCAGAUCUGUUUGUGGAUCUGGGCCUUAGGCUCCUGAGUCUUAUUGAAAUUCAAUGACAUUGACAUUCAGCCACUGGAAAGUUUUGCUGGCAGAGCUAUAUCAGACAGGAGUGUGGAAAAGUAAGGGUGGCAGGAUCUGGUCCAAAGUAAUUACUUUAAGGUCACAGAAACUGAUAACUGAUACAAAGAAUCCUAGGAAAUAAGGUAAGAAAUUGGUAUAUUAACAAUUUCCAAUAAGAAUCUAUUAUUAUUUUUUGUUGGCUAUUAUAAUCAAGGAUGAGCUAGUAAGUCUAGUGCACUUUGAUAACUUGCUUGUAAUGUACUUUUGAAUUGCUCUUGGACAUAAAUUCCUAGGUAAUCUGGUGCUCUUUCUAGAAUCGCUCUUUAGAAACCCCCAAUUCUCUCCGAAUUCACCUGUUCAUUGUGGGAUGUUGGUGGUUCACAAAAGCUAUUCAGAGACACUUUAUUCCGCUUAAAAAUGGUUCUCUUUCAAGAUGAGGGGGGAAGAAGAUUUUUUCCAGGCAGGAAUAAAAGAAAUACUAGAAAGGAACAUGCACACAUUGUAAGCAAAUCACAUUUCAAUGAAUACACUCAAGUAGCAGCAAUGGUCAAUUGUUUGACUGUUGGGUAUUAAGGUUUUGCUUGUAAAAAUGGGGAGAGUUAAGUUUAAAUAAUGUAGGCCCACUUCAUUGUUGUUCUGCAUCUCAUGUUGUCAUUUUUGUCAGUUCAAACCAAGUGCAAAUCAAAAUGGUAGCUUUGCACUAGUGUAAAUAAUGACACCAGGUAUAGGGCAGCACUAAAUCAGACCCUAUGUCUGUACUGUAUGGCUCUCAGCUUUGUACAUAUGAUUUUGUGGUACUAAAUCUAUCUCCUCAAUCCAUUCAUUACUGUAACACAAACAGUAUUU